rnacentral:rRNA from 1 species
AGAGUUUGAUCAUGGCUCAGAACGAACGCUGGCGGCAGGCCUCAAACAUGCAAGUCUAGGGGGUGCAGCAAUGCAUCACCGGCGGACGGGUGCGUAACGCGUGGGAAUAUACCUAUUGGUUCGGAACAACUGCGGGAAACUGCAGCUAAUACCGAAUGUGCCCUCACGGGGAAAGAUUUAUCGCCAAUGGAUUAGCCCGCGUCCGAUUAGCUAGUUGGUGGGGUAAAAGCUCACCAAGGCUCCGAUCGGUAGCUGUUCUGAGAGGAAGAUCAGCCACACUGGGACUGAGACACGGCCCAGACUCCUACGGGAGGCAGCAGUUGGGAAUCUUGGACAAUGGGGGAAACCCUGAUCCAGCCAUGCCGCGUGAGUGAUGAAGGCCUUCGGGUUGUAAAACUCUUUCGACGGGGACGAUAAUGACGGUACCCGUAGAAGAAGCUCCGGCUAACUUCGUGCCAGCAGCCGCGGUAAUACGAAGGGGGCUAGCGUUGUUCGGAAUUACUGGGCGUAAAGCGCGCGCAGGCGGCUAUCCAAGUCAGUGGUGAAAGCCCGGAGCUCAACUCCGGAACUGCCAUUGAAACUGUUUAGCUUGAGGAUGAGAGAGGUGAGUGGAAUUCCCAGUGUAGAGGUGAAAUUCGUAGAUAUUGGGAAGAACACCGGUGGCGAAGGCGGCUCACUGGCUCAUUACUGACGCUCAGGCGCGAUAGCGUGGGGAUCAAACAGGAUUAGAUACCCCAGUAGUCC